UACGUAGGGGGCAAGCGUUGUCCGGAUUUAUUGGGCGUAAAGAGCUCGUAGGUGGUUCGGUAAGUCGGAUGUGAAAAUCUCCAGGCUCAACCUGGAGGGGUCAUUCGAUACUGCGAUGACUUGAGUCCGGUAGGGGAGUGUGGAAUUCCUGGUGUAGCGGUGAAAUGCGCAGAUAUCAGGAGGAACACCGGCGGCGAAGGCGGCACUCUGGGCCUUACCUGACGCUGAGGAGCGAAAGCGUGGGUAGCGAACAGG
rnacentral:rRNA from 1 species